rnacentral:lncRNA from 1 species
AUAAUCUCCCUGAGCAAUUUGAAUCCAGCUUUUUAUCACUUCACAGCAGAGCAGCAUUUGCCUGAGAUUUUCUUUUUAAUGAUUUAUUAAUGCAGUUGUCAUCUGACAGUUUGAGUAUUUUAAUUUUGCUUGAUCUUAAAGCUACUUUUGACACUGUUGAUUAUAACAUCCUCCUGGAUCACUUUGAAUAUUAUGUCAGCUUAGCUGAAUCAACUUUAAGUGGGUUUCACUCGUGUUUGCUCAAGAGCAAUCACCCUUCCUGAUGAGAAGGUGAUUUCCUUCUUUCCUUCUCCUGCGCUGACAUACCAUGUGGACCCUCGUUUGAGAGACCUGCAUUCAUGCAUGUCUCCACGCAGUUUCUCCAGACAAGGCUGUAGUCCUCUGAAGUAGAAGAAAAGUGGAAGGGUUAAGCAAUUGACUAUCAAUCAAUAAUCUUUUAUGAAAGAAGAGAUGGUGCAGCACACGCAUGCCCAAUAUUAAGAGAGAGAAGACAUUUAUUGAGGCAAGCAGCUGGAGUGGACCUGCCCCCAUCACCAGGCCAGCUUCCCACCUGCACGUGCAGCUCUUUCUUCUUUUGCAGGAGGCUGGCUCUGCUCAUUAGACAUGCAACAAAGAGCUGGCCUGUGGAGCACACAUCCAUAUUCAUAACUCAAGUCAGCUGGAAAGUUGUACAUUUUUCUUUCUGGGAAGUCAUGGCGACAAAGACUGAAGACCCAGGCAGCACAAAUGUGAAUGAUGGUUCCAUGGAAAAGAGAAGGAGGUGAACAAAAGGAAGAAAUGCAGAGAAAAAUAUGGAAUAGAAAUAUGAGGGAAGAUAUUAGCAAACUGGCUACAUCUUUUAUGACAAACUCAACUGAUUACAUCUUUUCCAAGAACAUCUUCAGAGGUUUGCUGGAGUUUGGAUUUACUACUGAGUCAUAUUUGGAGCAUGCUGGAAUCUUACAACUGAGAUUACCGAGUCAGAAACUAGUUUGACUGUUCUCGUCGGCAUGGUUGAGACAUUAUCCCUGGCAGAAGGCUGGACUGGCAUGGACAUCAUUUGAUGAGUUCGUCUCCUCUUAACAAUCAAAGCCUGUUUUCCAGUGCGAAUAAACUGUUGCCUUAUAUAUUGUUUUCCCAUUUUUAUAGUUGUUUACUGCAAAAAAGAGUCUGGUACAAGUUACUUUGCUAAAACCUUGAUAAAGUUUUAUUCUACGAUUCUUCAAUCAAUGUUUCUGUUUUGUUUAUUCUGUUAUCUCUGUUGUGUCAUACCAUAAUUCUCUCAUUAAUAGCUCAUAUUCUUUUUCAUAGCUAUUCAAUUCUUUAGCAGUUUCUACUUUUAUGUUUGGGAGAAAAUUGAAAGCUUGAUUUCUUAUUUUGACAAGUUUUCUAAAGGUUUCAGCAUGCAAUAUUUUUUUUCAUAGCCUUACAGUUUGUAAUAGUUCAUCUGAUUGUAAAGCUCUUACAAUCUUUCCUGAUUUUAAGUCAUUUUAACAACGACUUUCUCUCUUUUUUAUUUUUAAGAAACAAUGUCCUCCUUUUCAUUUGUUGAGAACUCUACUCAGCUUUUAAAAAACUUCCUGUGUAUGUACCUUAAUUCUUUUGACAAUAAAACAUUACUCUGAAUAUUCAAA